rnacentral:rRNA from 1 species
UGGGGAAUAUUGCACAAUGGGGAAACCCUGAUGCAGCGACGCCGCGUGAACGAAGAAGGUAUUCGUAUCGUAAAGUUCUGUCCUAUGGGAAGAUAAUGACAGUACCAUAGAAGAAAGCUCCGGCUAAAUACGUGCCAGCAGCCGCGGUAAUACGUAUGGAGCGAGCGUUGUCCGGAAUUAUUGGGCGUAAAGGGUACGCAGGCGGUUUAAUAAGUCGAAUGUUAAAGAUCGGGGCUCAACCCCGCAAAGCAUUGGAAACUGAUAAACUUGAGUAGUGGAGAGGUAAGUGGAAUUCCUAGUGUAGUGGUGAAAUACGUAGAUAUUAGGAGGAAUACCAGUAGCGAAGGCGACUUUCUGGACACAAACUGACGCUGAGGUACGAAAGCGUGGGGAGCAAACAGG